rnacentral:rRNA from 1 species
CCUACGGGGGACAGCAGUGAGGAAUAUUGGUCAAUGGACGAGAGUCUGAACCAGCCAAGUAGCGUGAAGGAUGACUGCCCUAUGGGUUGUAAACUUCUUUUAUAUGGGAAUAAAACGUUCCACGUGUGGGAUUUUGUAUGUACCAUAUGAAUAAGGAUCGGCUAACUCCGUGCCAGCAGCCGCGGUAAUACGGAGGAUCCGAGCGUUAUCCGGAUUUAUUGGGUUUAAAGGGAGCGUAGGUGGAUUGUUAAGUCAGUUGUGAAAGUUUGCGGCUCAACCGUAAAAUUGCAGUUGAAACUGGCAGUCUUGAGUACAGUAGAGGUGGGCGGAAUUCGUGGUGUAGCGGUGAAAUGCUUAGAUAUCACGAAGAACUCCGAUUGCGAAGGCAGUUCACUGGACUGCAACUGACACUGAGGCUCGAAAGUGUGUGUAUCAAACAGGAUUAGAUACCCGAGUAGUC